GACAGAGGGUGCAAACGUUGCUCGGAAUUACUGGGCGUAAAGCGCGUGUAGGCGGGAAGAUAAGUCGGGUGUGAAAUCCCUGGGCUCAACCUAGGAACUGCAUUCGAAACUGUCUUUCUGGAGUGAUGGAGAGGAAAGCGGAAUUCUCGGUGUAGAGGUGAAAUUCGUAGAUAUCGGGAGGAACACCAGUGGCGAAGGCGGCUUUCUGGCCAUCAACUGACGCUGAGACGCGAAAGCGUGGGGAGCAAACAGG
rnacentral:rRNA from 1 species